rnacentral:lncRNA from 1 species
UAAUAUAUCUUAUACAUACUAUGCUCUGAUACCAUGUUGGACUCUUUGAUUAAUUGCUACUUUUCUAACAUGGUUUAGUAGACGCCUUAUAUACUGCAGGUGUAUGGCGGGUCUGUGCAUGUAUCGGGUAUGCUUCUGCUGGUACCCGGGCGUGAUAGUACACAUCCCCUUCCUUCACCCACACUGCCAUCCCAUCGUACUCCCUAUACCUCCCCUCAAUUCUACAUCCCAACUACUCCCUCUUCUCCAUCAUCCCUAUUCCCUUCUUCCAGACACUCCCUUCCCUCCCUCUCUCAUUCUAUCCAUUUUGCGAUGCCUGUGCAU